UAAUAAAAAUUUUUCCUUUUUUUUCUUUCUAAUCUCAUCCGCUCUUCCCUUCCACCGUGUCCUCUGCCAACCCCUUUCGCGCCCUCGGUUGCAACUUGCAACAACGACCUCUCGUGUCUCCGCCGUCCAUUCUAGACUCGUUCUGCAAUCGCACGCUGACGGUUGAGGGGCUCUACGAGUAGGUGAAGACAACGCUGUUUCUGCCGCUGGUAGUGCUUCAACUUGCACUCUACCUUGCGGUGGGUACAUGGCGACAAAGGUGGUGCUUCAAGGGUGGAAGGACGAGGAGAAUUCGAUGCCCAAGUGGAUGUGUAGGUUUAUGUGGAUCACGUACUUGUGCACCAGAUGUAUUCCCUUCUCGUUUGGAUCUAGGUGGAGUGGAUCCCAGAUAUGGGAAAAGAGACAAUAUGGAGGGCAGAGUCGUAUAUUGCGGCGGUGGAAUCGACGGAGAGAAGAUGAAGUUGUCGUCAUCACCGUCGUGGGAGAAGACUUUUGUUGGAGUUGUUGGGAAAUCUUGCCUCAGCUAGAAAGCAAAUGCAUUCUGAAGUAAAAAAAAUGAGAUUGUUACAUAUUUCGCUGGUGUAAAUCUGGAAAAAAAUCCAGUUCUGGAAGGGAGGGAGGAGAUGGGCAAACAGUAAUGUGGAUCAGGAACUGGGUUGCAGAAAGAGGACUCAAAUUAAAAAAAUGAUAAUUUUUUUUAUUUUAAAAUUAAUUUUUUAAUUUUUAAAUAUAUUUUUAAUUUUUAUUUUCCAGUUUAAAAUCUUUUGCUACCGGUUAUUUUUAACACUUCCACGGUGGUUCACUUUGCUAAGACUUCACCAUAGUCACGUCUCGAGACUUAGAUUGAUUUUUGCACUUCCAAAGAAGUACCAUGUAAUUUGAUGAUUAUUCCAUGCCAGUCUUCAUCUGUUGUAACAAUAACUUGAAAAAAUCCGCCUGCUACAUA